UAAUCACAGUAAACACCUGCCAUGAAUUGAAAACAAAAAUUAACAUUAUUUUUUAAUGCAUUAGUUGCACACAUGUGGGUAGGGAGGGAGGCAUCGCUGGCAGGGGGACUGAAGCCCCAGCCCACAGCUCUGUGGGCUUUGGGGGUGCUGGAGCCCCAUACCCCGAGAACGGCUGAAUCCACAAGCCUCACAACCCAAAGGGGCUGGAGCCCUAUGCCCUGAGGGUCGCUGAAGCCCUGAGCCCAGCAUCCUGAGAUGGGCUGAAGCCCAAAGCCCCCAUCCCUGAGCCUAUGUUUGAAAAUAGAGAUUCCCCACCAAAUAUUUCAAUAAAUCAUAUAUUCUGAUAUUGUUUAACAGUAUGAUUAAAACUGCGAUUAAUUUUGAAAUCACCUGACAGUCCUAUUUGCUAGUGAGUGAGACUCAUAAACCUUCAUCAAACCCCUUAACUGUGGCUUAUUCCAUUUUUCUCUUCCAAGAACACUGAGGUGCCCCGGUGCCAUGCAGCGAAUUACAUCAAGGACUGGGACUUUUCUCUGCAGCCUCCUGCUUUUUAAACAAGGUGCAUGUCUCAGUUCAAACCUUCAGACUUGCAGCGUCAUUUCGCUUCUAGCCAGGCACAUAUCGAUCAAGAAUUCCCACCAGGCUCUGAACUCUGCACUUCGCAACUGAAAACUUUGAAAAAACAAACAGAUGUAGAAGCCCAGUUCUGUGUGAAUUCCAUCUGUCUGUCUCCUGUUCGGCACCGUUUCCCAUCAGCCUUUCCUAGAACGCCGAGAAGCAGAGAAAUGCAGGGCUGGAAGGGACCUUGUGGGCUCAUAUGGUCCAGCUCCCUUGUGCUGAAGCAGAACCAACAAACCAAGACCGGCCAGGGUGUUUGUCCAACCUGUUCUUACAAACCUCCAACGAGGGGGAUUCUCCAUGGGAACCUCAUUCCAGUGCUUAACCACUCUGACAAUUAGAAUGGUUUUCCUGAGAUCGAAUCUCAAUCCCCCUUGCUGACGAUUAAGCCCAUUACUUCUUGGAACACAGAGAACCAUCGAUAACCAUCUGCUUUAGAACAGCCCUUUACAUAUCAGGUCCCCCCAGUUCUCCUUUUCUCAGGACUAAACAUGCCCAGUGUUUUUAACGUUUUCUCAUGGAUCGUGUUUUCUAGACCUUUGAUCACUUCUCUGGACUCUUUCCAAUUUGUCCACAUCUUUCCUGAACU